UUCUGGCUCAGGAUGAACGCUGGCGGCGUGCUUAACACAUGCAAGUCGAACGGAGUUUAGAUGAAACCUAGUGAUUCUAAACUUAGUGGCGGACGGGUGAGUAACGCGUGGGUAACCUGCCAUAUACAGGGGGAUAACACUUAGAAAUAGGUGCUAAUACCGCAUAAGCGCACAGGACCGCAUGGUCUGGUGUGAAAAAACUCCGGUGGUAUAUGAUGGACCCGCGUCUGAUUAGCUAGUUGGUGAGGUAACGGCCCACCAAGGCGACGAUCAGUAGCCGGCCUGAGAGGGUGAACGGCCACAUUGGGACUGAGACACGGCCCAAACUCCUACGGGAGGCAGCAGUGGGGAAUAUUGCACAAUGGGGGAAACCCUGAUGCAAGCGACGCCGCGUGAGUGAAGAAGUAUUUCGGUAUGUAAAGCUCUAUCAGCAGGAAAGAAAAUGACGGUACCUGACUAAGAAGCCCCGGCUAACUACGUGCCAGCCGCUGC
rnacentral:rRNA from 1 species